UUGUGUCCAGUAUAUCGCAAUAGGCUCACCCCCUAUUACAUGGGACUUAUAACACAAAUGGUGAAAAGUGGAUGUACAUUGUAUAGCGGCAUUACGUGCCGUAAUGUGCAUUUCUGCCUACCCCUUCGGGGAUAAAAGGCGUGACGUUGUGUGUGUGUGUGUCUCUUGUAGUUUUACGCGGUGCAUAGAAUUUUCCUUUAGCAUUAUGCACAUACCCAUUACUUCGUAUAUAAGAUGAUGAAGGCAAUGUAAGGCCAUCAUUCGAGUGAAGUGGAGCAACACACAUCAACAUGAAACUGUUCAACCUGCUGGUGCUGGUCCUCGCGGUGGUCGCCAUGUUGAUGGGCGGCGCCAGCGCACACCCCAAGCGACCCAAAGUCAUUAAAUCUGGAGUUGGUAUUACCGGCGCCGUUGGUACGGCUCAUCAAAUAUAUGCACUAUAUAAGGCAGACCAAACAAUACACAGGAAAGGUUAAAUAACCCUACUGGACAUCUAUUGUGGCAUUGAAGAGCCAAUGCUAUUGUUUAAAGCUCAAGAUAACUUGAGAAACUUAUGUUAUAUCAAUAAAAUGUACUUAGUUAACGAUAAGGCCGCCUUUGUGCACUUUAAUCCUAUACGUUGUUAUUUUAUGCUGAAUUUAUCUAAAGGUGUACAAUAAAGGUUAUUAUUAUUAUUAUUAUGUUUG